CAGCAGCCGCGGUAAUACGUAGGUGGCAAGCGUUGUCCGGAAUUAUUGGGCGUAAAGGGCUCGCAGGCGGUUUCUUAAGUCUGAUGUGAAAGCCCCCGGCUCAACCGGGGAGGGUCAUUGGAAGCUGGGAGACUUGAGUGCAGAAGAGGAGAGUGGAAUUCCACGUGUAGCGGUGAAAUGCGUAGAGAUGUGGAGGAACACCAGUGGCGAAGGCGACUCUCUGGUCUGUAACUGACGCUGAGGAGCGAAAGCGUGGGGAGCGAACAGGAUUAGAUACCCGAGUAGUCCCUGUCUCUUAUAC
rnacentral:rRNA from 1 species